rnacentral:rRNA from 1 species
GAUGAACGCUAGCGGCAGGCCUAAUACAUGCAAGUCGAACGGAUAUAUGUUUUCGGAAUAUAUAUUAGUGGCGCACGGGUGAGUAACACGUACAUAACUUGCCCUCAAGCGGGGGAUAGCCUUGGGAAACUGAGAGUAAUACCCCAUAGAAUUAUUGGACGGCAUCGUUUGAUAAUUAAAACUACGGUGUUUGGGGAUAGAUGUGCGUCUGAUUAGCUAGUUGGUGAGGUAACUGCUCACCAAGGCGACGAUCAGUAGGGGGCGUGAGAGCGUGGCCCCCCACACGGGUACUGAGACACGGACCCGACUCCUACGGGAGGCAGCAGUAAGGAAUAUUGGUCAAUGGAGGAAACUCUGAACCAGCCAUGCCGCGUGAAGGAUGACGGCCCUCUGGGUUGUAAACUUCUUUUGGAUGGGGCGAAAAAACGGGAUUUAUCCUGGACUGACGGUACCAUCAGAAUAAGCACCGGCUAACUCCGUG